rnacentral:rRNA from 1 species
GACGGGGGAUGCAAGCGUUAUCCGGAAUCACUGGGCGUAAAGGGCGCGUAGGCGGCCUAGCAAGUCUGGUGUGAAAGCCCAGGGCUCAACCCUGGAAGGGCACUGGAAACUGUUAGGCUUGAGUUCCGGAGAGGAGGGGGGAAUUCCCGGUGUAGCGGUGAAAUGCGUAGAUAUCGGGAGGAAUACCGGUGGCGAAGGCGCCCCUCUGGACGGAAACUGACGCUGAGGCGCGAAAGCGUGGGGAGCAAACAGG